GUAGGUGGCAAGCGUUGUCCGGAAUUAUUGGGCGUAAAGCGCGCGCAGGUGGUUCUUUAAGUCUGAUGUGAAAGCCCCCGGCUCAACCGGGGAGGGUCAUUGGAAACUGGGGAACUUGAGUGCAGGAGAGGAAAGUAGAAUUCCACGUGUAGCGGUGAAAUGCGUAGAUAUGUGGAGGAACACCAGUGGCGAAGGCGACUUUCUGGCCUGUAACUGACACUGAGGCGCGAAAGCGUGGGGAGCAAACAGGGAUUAGAUACCCUGGUAGUCCACGCCGUAAACGAUGAGUGCUAAGUGUUGGGGGGGUUUCCCGCCCCUCAGUGCUGCAGCUAACGCAUUAAGCACUCCGCCUGGGGAUACGGUCGCAAGACUG
rnacentral:rRNA from 1 species